rnacentral:rRNA from 1 species
UAGGGAAUCUUCCGCAAUGGACGAAAGUCUGACGGAGCAACGCCGCGUGAGUGAUGAAGGUUUUCGGAUCGUAAAGCUCUGUUGUUAGGGAAGAACAAGUACCGUUCGAAUAGGGCGGUACCUUGACGGUACCUAACCAGAAAGCCACGGCUAACUACGUGCCAGCAGCAGCGGUCAUACGUAGGUGGCAAGCGUUGUCCGGAAUUAUUGGGCGUAAAGGGCUCGCAGGCGGUUUCUUAAGUCUGAUGUGAAAGCCCCCGGGUCAACCGGGGAGGGUCAUUGGGAACGGGUGAACUUGAGUGCAGGAGAGGAGAGUGGAAUUCCACGUGUAGCGGUGAAAUGCGUAGAGAUGUGGAGGAACACCAGUGGCGAAGGCGACUCUCUGGUCUGUAACUGACGCUGAGGAGCGAAAGCGUGGGGAGCGAACA